UACAGAGGUCUCGAGCGUUGUUCGGAUUCAUUGGGCGUAAAGCGCACGUAGGCGGUUCGUUAUGUCGGAUGUGAAAGCCCUUGGCUUAACCGAGGAAGUGCAUCCGAAACUGGCGAGCUAGAGUACGAAAGAGGAUCGCGGAAUUCCCGGUGUAGAGGUGAAAUGCGUAGAUAUCUGGAGGAACAUCGGUGGCGAAGGCGGCCUGCUGGGCUCUUGCUGACACUGAGGCGCGACAGCGUGGGGAGCAAACAGG
rnacentral:rRNA from 1 species